CAGAAAACAAACUCUAUACUCCGUCUCUCUCUCUCUCCCACUCCGUCUCCACUCUCCAGCACACUGUACUCCUACAAGCUUCCACUCCGUCGACUCUCUCUCUCCCACUUCGGCACUUCCACAGUCACAAGCCACAGCCAUAAGGUCCACAACCACAAGUAGCACGCCAACACUGCUUGUCUCCUUUGCGAGUCUGUUUCCUCUCUCCCGCUCCGACACAGACGUACAAUUCCGCACGCAGCUAGCAGACUCCAGCUCCUUCUCUCUCUCGUUCCAGACUUCGGAGUUCAGAGUUUAGACUUCCAGACCUGAGACCCAUGCUGCAAGCUUGCUGAGUGCCGAGUUUGCCGACUGUGUCCGCCACUCCACUGGCCACUGCUUUAGCCUUUGGAAUAACUUCCCGUUCUGCUCAAUAAUAAUUUUUCUGAAAUGAAUAAUAGCUUCCGCCGGCUCAAUAAAUUUAACACUUUGUUUUGUUUGAUUACAGGACUGCACAAGCCACAAGGGAAAAAAUGAAUAAUAGCUUAUGCCGUCUGCUAUCUUCUUGAAUCUUGAAGUUAAAGGUAUGUCCAUUCUAUUUGCAUCCCCGAUUGUGAUUGGCUGAGUUAGUGAUUUGGUAUUAAUUGUUUUUUUUUUCUAAUUUUUGGUUUAGCUUCCGAGUAAGUUACAACUGUGUUUUCGAUUUAGGAAUUUUUUUAUUUAGGAAUUUAGGGAUUUUCGAUUUAGGGCUUUCUUAUUUAUAUGUGAAUUGAUUUAGGAAGAGUGAAACUUUGAUUGAAUUUUGGUAGGUAUGAUUUAGAUUCUUAGAAGAAGAAACUGAUUUAGGGAUUUCUAAUGUUGUCGAUUUUUCGUUUGUACCAGUCAUGGAGUAACACUUUAAACGUAAAUCUACGCCUUCCUAUGAUGAGCAAAAUAUCAGUGAAAGGAACGAUCGAGAGAAAAGGGAUCAAAAUGAUGUUGAUGUUGAUGUUGGAGAUGUUGGGGAUGUUGAUGUUGGGAAUGUGGAUAUUGGGGAUAUUGAUGUUGAAGAUGUUGAGGGUAUUGGACAUGUUGGGGAUGUUGAUGUUGGAGAUGUUGGGGAUGUUGAUGUUGAAGAUGUUGGAAACAUUGGGGGUAUUGGAGAUGCU
rnacentral:lncRNA from 1 species